rnacentral:pre_miRNA from 1 species
GUGGGUACAAGGAAUCUACUUUAUUCAGCACACUAACCUAAUUUCUGAGACAUAUUACAUACCUGAAACAUGUCUUAGAAAUUAGGUUUUUUUUUAGUUGUGUGCUGAACAAAGUAGAUUUCUUGUACUCA